rnacentral:rRNA from 1 species
CCUUCGGGUUAGUGGCGGACGGGUGAGUAACGCGUGAGAAUCUGCCCUCAGGAGGGGGAUAGCCCGGGGAAACCCGGAUUAAUACCGCAUACGCCCUAAGGGGGAAAGGCCGGGAUCUUCGGACCGGUCACUAUUGGAGGAGCCUGCGUAGGAUUAGCUAGUUGGUGAGGUAAAGGCUCACCAAGGCGAUAAUCAAUAGCUGAUUUGAGAGGAUGAUCAGCCACACUGGGACUGAGAUACGGCCCAGACUCC